rnacentral:rRNA from 1 species
UACGUAGGGGCCCAGCGUUGUCCGGAAUCAUUGGGCGUAAAGCGCGCGUAGGCGGCCAGACAAGUCCGGUGUGAAAGUCACAGGCUCAACCUGUGAAUGCCGCUGGAAACUGUCUGGCUAGAGUCCGGAAGGGGCGAGUGGAAUUCCUGGUGUAGCGGUGAAAUGCGCAGAUAUCAGGAGGAACACCAAUUGCGAAGGCAGCUCGCUGGGACGUUACUGACGCUGAGACGCGAAAGCGUGGGGAGCAAACAGG